rnacentral:lncRNA from 1 species
UUGUAAAUCAAUUAACAUGACUGUAAAAAUAUUUAAUCCACUGAUCAUUAAGUCCAUUCUUACAUCUUAUAAUAACCGCAUCAUGUCUUUAUCAAAUAGAAGAUAUAACGGUCUAUAACCCAAAUAAACUCAUAUCUAUACAAGAAUAGUAAAACAUAAAAGAGGACAUUUAACAUUGAUACUCGAAAAGAGGACAAAUAGUUCUCCGCUUCUUUUUAACUUUGCAUCUCUCUUCGUAUCUAUAUAUACUCUAUUAUUUAACGACCAACAAAACUUAUACCACUGCUAAAUUGGAACAAUAUCUACCACUGCACAGAAUUUACUCUACGAAGCACACGUGGUGGUCUUCGCUUCUCAACAACUGGAAUGAGGUUCUCCAUUAGCUGCAAUGUUACAAUCAAACAAAUAACAUCCACAACAAAUACACAAAAUUGUUAGAAUUUAUAAUGGACAUACUCUAGCAAUGAACUACUGAAUCAAAAUGGUUUUUUUUCAAAUUUCAUGUAUACAGAGAUCAGAUAUGCAUUGGACACAAAAAUCUAUCAAAUCAUAAAAAUCAAAGUUGCAUGGAAAUGCUUUUAGGCAAUCAAAAUUCAGUAGACAGUGCAUGACCAAGGAUAAUACCAAAGCUUUUGGAGGAUAUAGGUGAAAAAUGUAUACGAAUGAUAUAAAAGAUAGAUCACACAGCGUGACGCCCACAUCAAACACCAAGCUCACACAGCAUUAUCCACCGUUUUUUCAUCUAAAUUUUUUCAAUUAUAUACAUCAGAUAUUUUCCAUUAUAUUUGCAGUAAUUCAAUCACACCAGCAGGGUUGCUAUAUGAUCUGGCUUGGUCUUCAAAUCUAGUCAUUACUAAUACUAGCCUUCUGUAAAUAGUCCAAUCUAGCUCACAUAUUCAUAGGCUGGCAGCAGCUAAUCCCUGCUAGGCUGAUCCACAGUAAAAAAUUUUCAGAAAUUCCACAGCUUCCAUAACAAACAAAAUGAUCUUUAAUUUCAUAAAAUGCCAAUUGAUGGGUUCUUAUUUGAAAUAACAGAGAAUAGAUAAAGAAAGUUGCAAGGGAUUAGAUAAACCAAGGUUCUAAUGCUUAAAUCCUUUUAAAAUUGCCAACCGUAAGCCAAACUCUAUCUUGAUAUCUUGCCCUUCUACCGUUCAAAUUGAAAUUUGGCAAGCAUACACUCUCUCUAUAUUUACUGGACUUCAAACUGAAGUAGGUUUCAUCUGCAACACUAUGUCAUAACCAAGGGAUAUCCUCAUGGAUAUGCUUUGUAACUGGCUCGUGGCCAAAGCCAAUCCUUGGUGGAGUCCAACUCAGACAGUGAAAUCUUUUUCGCCAACUGUUCAAACACUUGGGAGGAUACCCUUCAUGCAUGUCCUUCGACACUGCUAUACAUACAUAUUCAACACUGCUCUGUACCCAGUGUAUAUAUCCCCUUACUACAAAACUCAACGUAGGACAUCUCUCAGACUGUCAAGGUUUCUCUAGGUCAAUAAAAACCACUUAUUCCUUUCUGUUCUCCUAGAGCUCCUCUAUCAAAACUCUUACUAGAAAAUUGCUCCCAUAGUUUAUGUUAUGGACCAGACCAAGAUGGUGGGAUCAGCAGGGAUGAAACAAGACCAGGAGGUCUCAGGGUGCAUUUUCAAAAGAAGAAUAGGAUGGGAGAAUCAAGGAACAAAGAGCUAGAAAGAAUAUGGAUGGAGGGGCCAACUUGACCAGAGAAGAUCACCAAAGGAGGCUGCCUGUUGAUUCUUCUGGUAACAAAGCACAGCAACAGCAAUAAAGAUGAUAUAUAAAGGAAUCAUGAAGAAUGGGAGAGACAUGUGAGUAAUUUCAGUCAAUCAAUGGCGUUAUUGCUAGGGCAGUAGUUACCAUUCUCAUUGUAAUUCUGUUUCCUUGGUUUAUUUUACUUGUAUUCAAUCAGUAGUUGAGGAGUCUCCGUGUUCUGUGUUAAAGGAGAUUGAACUAGUGUAUUACUGUUACUCUCUCAGUGAAAAUUCAGUACAAAUUACUAUUUUCCUCUUUUUUAUUUGAGUUUUUAACUCUUAUCAAUUUGGUUGACCUGCCAGAUCUGCAGUAAGAAUGAAUCGCCAAAACUAGGAUGGAGUUCGAAGUGGAAAUGGCAGAGGAACUUAGGCUCCUUAACCCUUCGUCUGGCAUAAUUCAUUUUGAAAGAAAAGAAUUCAAAAGAAUCCUUACAAAAUUAUGAUUAUGAAAGAUUUCAACUUCUUUUAAAAUGAAUUUUUCUAGGUUAAAAAGAAUUGAAUUCUUUCAUUUCAAAAAAGAGAAUUGUUAGAAAAGAAAUCAAUUGAAGUGAAUUCAUAUGAAAUUCUUGAUUCCAAAUGGAGGUAGAUGAAAGUAUACUCAAAUUAUAAAAUGAUGGUGGACAAAAAGAUCUCUGGUUUCCAGGCCCAUGGAAAGAGAUGAUGUAGACACAAAAACUAACAGCCACGAAAAAAGAAAAGGGAGGGGGGGGGAGAAGAAGUUUGAGUUAAAUGGUCAGGACCCUGUGGGAUGGCUAGCCCGGACAGAUCAAUAUCUCAUCAUACAUCAGCAGAAAAUAAAAUGGAAGUCAAUUUAGCAAUGGUGUGAAGAGAGGUUGUUGCUUUGCCCCUGAGUACAGAUGCAUCGACCCUCCCCAACAUGACAUGAGAGCAACAUCCACUGAUCUGCUACAACAUUAUGGUGGUGAUCCACUAACCAAUCUAUUUCAACUAUCGGCUGCAUUAAGGCAAGAGUGUAUUGUAGACAAGUUCAUUGACGAAUUUGUCCCUAGCACUUUUCAGCUUUUUUUUUUUGUUUAAAAAAAAGGUUACUUUCCAAAUAGGUUACGAGUGGACCAAGAACAAACAUAUAUAAAGGCAACAAAAUAAUGAAACCGAAAGUUGGACAAACAUAUCGCGGGCUACAAAUGUUCGAAUUAACAAUGUUAAAUUUGAGAAAAAAAAUACCAAGCUUGUUCCUAUGUUGCCACAACUCACAAUUUAAUGAAAACAAGGGGGAAAGAAAAGGAACUAGUCUAUGAAGUUGAAGAUGUUUGGAUGACCAAAAACAACUACGAAGAUCUGGAGAGGCAACGAAACAAAAGAGCUAGAGAUCAUGGGGUGUUAAGAUGAUAUAAUUUGUGAUUUGCAUAAUCACCUUUUUUGCACUUUGAUCCUGCACAUUGUCAGAAUCAUAUGUAAAUGCGAUUUUGUAACAAUGGCAGAGCCAAGUAAAUAGUACGAUUAAGGUAUAGAAGGAAAGGAAGAUAGAGUUGGGCGCACACAAGAACAAAUUCAAUAUGGAUUUUAUAACAAUGGCAGAGCCAAUCUGCAAUACAAUGUCCUAAAUAACGAGCAGUAAGUUUUGGAGAAAUGACAUGCUUAAAUGUGGUUUGAUGAUGAGAGCAAAGUUUCAAGAAGACCGAAUCUCCUACCUCAAACACAACUUCCAUUCUACAUUUCUUGGCAACUGGUGCCAUCCUUUGUUGUGCUUUUGAUAAAUUAAAGGCAUGUUGCUUCAAUAACUCAACUCUUGUUGACAAUAUCUUGUGCCACAGCUUCAACUUUAGUUUGACCUGGUAAGAAUUGUUGAAGAGUAGGAGGAUCCCUUGCAUAUACCACUUCAAAAGAAGUCAUUUCAGUAGCUGUCUGGAAGCUUGAAUUAGAGUUUUUCUUUUGUCGAAGAUAUUAAAUUAGAGUUGGAUUUCACCACUUGGGUUGGCCUACUUCACCAAACUCUUAGCCUAUACGCUGCACCAUGCUACUUCCAAUUACCAAGCUUAUCAAGGUUCACAAUUGAUGAAAAUUUUUGACCCCCUCCUCCUUGAGGCAUAUCAUUCGCCAUUCAUAAAGGAAAUUUGUCCUCAAAUUCGAUUAUUUGCAAAGGACAACAGCAGCACAUGAAUUUUGAAUCCCCCUUCUUAUCACUUCCUUUAUCGCCACAUACUCAUUCUUUCCCCUGUUAAGCACAUCAUGAUUCCUUUGUGAUAGAGGAACAAAAAUAUUUACAUACAUUUGGUACAAUGAUAGCCGCCUCUUCUUUUAUGGACCUGGAAGCAGCAAAAGAAAAUACAUCCUCAUUUCAAAUGGUUAGAGAAGAAGAGAUUACAUCCUCAUAUUGCUCUCCUUCUCCUCCUCCAUCAAAGCUUCCCUUCCCUCUCUUGCACGAUUGUCUCAUUCACAUCCUCCAUCUAAAGGUGGUGAGCUUAUGUCCACUUCUACCUUGACAACAACUAUUGUUAAAAGUAUUAGAGCUUACUUCUACCAACAGAUUUGCAUCUUGCUUCUUUGUUGAUCUAGAAGUUGAAUUGGAUAUGCACACACCAUGGAUGCAUUACUACUAUAUCUCAUAUGGUAGUUGGAUUAAUUUAUCUAAAGACUCAAAUGGUUGCAACUCCAAGAUUUUUGCAAUAUCAUAACUCAUAAUGUGUUAAGAGUUGGGACAACACUACUUGAUACAUUUUUUUAUGGAAUAUGUCCUAACAUGUUUCACUCUUUGGAAGCGCUACCAAAUCCCUAAGCUUCAAUACCAAACUGUUGUACCUAAUACAAAAACGAAUAAAGGAGAUUGUUUGGUAGCUUGGAAAUAAUAAGAUAUAUUUGAUCGAUAAUUAAAAUUUAAUAGUUUUAGACACAAUCUCAAGAAAACGAAAAAGAAUAGUUUCCUAGAAAUAAGAUAGCUAGAUUAUUGAAACUCUUUUCAUAAAGAUUAAAUAGCCACAAAAGAAGAGUCAACAACCCUAGGGACUCCACACCCAAAGAUGGAUGAUAAGCCAAUUAUUCACCACACUUGGGCAAGUGAUAAGAAGAUAAAAGCACAGAAAAUACCUAAAAAGAUCUUAAACUUAAAAGAAAAUUAAGCUUUUAUAUGCAUCUAAGCUAAACAUGAAAUCCUACUAUGAUAAGGUAACAUUGUACUACUUGAACUUGGGAAAAAAACAUGUCAAACCAAUGAAGAUGCACAUGCCACCUUGACUGUAUAAGCCUAAGAUAGUCUUCUCCAACUAAGUUUAGGAUAUAUAGAAUUGGUAAAAUAUUACUUCCUUAAUUUAAGGCAUAAAAUAAGAAGAUAUUUAAGCAAAUCUAACUUUUCUACAAACAGAAUUUGUCCAUUUCAGAUGAUGGCCAAAAAUCCAACUUCAUCUAAGAGAAUCUUGUUUAAAAAAAAAAUUAUAAGUUAAAUAUAUAUUAACUAUACAUUUUUUUUAAAAAAAAAAAAAAAGGUAUAAGCUAAAUAUAUAUUUGAAGCCAGAAGUUAAAAGCAUGUAGCCAAACCAAACAUACUUUAUAUUCAUGAAAUUAUGCCCAAACUGGUGUAGCAAGUACGUACUGGUACAAGUGCACUACAACCAAUUGAUUGGUUGCACAAGCAAUGAUGUCAUUCACAUAUUGAUACAUUAAAUUAACAAAAGAUAAUACUGGUCUUUAUUAUUCAUUGUUUAAUGAAUCUAGAGCAAAGAGUCCACGGGAGUAAUGAGCUUUGCAAAAGAAUUAUAAUAUUAUGAUUAUAAGAUUCUGUCACUAAAUAUUUCUAGUCAAUGCUCUGUAAAAAUUUGAAAUUGAUAACCAAAUAGCAAUAUAUAGUUUACAACAUAUCUAACAGUUGCCUCAUUUGCCACCUAUGGCUAGAUUGAUGCCCCAUUUGCCACCUAUGGUUAGAAUGAUGUAUAAACAAUAUUAAAACAUAGUAAUUCCCAUGUGAGAUAACUUAGAGAUCUCAAAUCUAACGAUUAUAACUUAGAGGUCUCAAGUCUAAUGACUAUUUACAUGAUUGGUACACGAGCCGUCCAUAGAAAAAAGCAAUUUCCAUAUGUGAUCGUCACACCUUAGUGAAUGAUAGAGCAUAGUUUAGUCCAUUUUAUAUUAAUAUUAUUGAUGAAUAUUUACACGAUUUCUGCUUAAUUUAUUGCUUUUAAUAUUAUUUUGCAGAAAAUGGUAUAAAAGGACAAUUUGGAGAAAAUGCUCCUAAAACCGCCUUAUUUAGAGCAAAAGAGAGCAAGCCUGCUAAGUUGGAUUCAAGUCAAGCUAAAUGAGGAAAAUAUUCUGAAAAUCAAAUAUUCAAGCAACUCAGCACUUGGGCCCGCACAUGGAUUCGCAAUUGGACGGCCCAUCCCCGCGCAUUCCCGCGUGAUCGCUUGCAACCAAGAACCCGCGCCUUCAUUUGCACUUGGGCCCGCUUAUGGACAGCCGGCUUGCACGUGGACCAGCGCGCUUCACCACUCCCGCAACGCAAAUGGGCCAAGCGCAUUCUCAGCACAUGGGACCCGCCAAAGCAUUUCCCCACCUUGCACUCACAGUAAAUGGCCCGCCUUCACUUCACGUGGACACUUCACGCAAAUGGGCCACAGCAACACUCGCGCACAAGCUCCAGCGUAUGACUUCUCCAACACGUGGACCAUGGACCCACCAAGCUCAACUCACAGCAAACGUGGCCCAUUCCCGCACACUUCACGUGGACCAAGCAUUCACGUGCUCAGCAUUUCACCGUGAUCCACUUCACAUGGACCAGCCCAUGGAUGCAUACAUGGCCGGCAAUUUACCAUGCACAUCCACAUGCACGCAUGGCCAGCCCGCAAAUGCAUGCUCCCACCGCACACUUCGCGUGGACCAUUCCUUCACGUGGACCACCAGCGCCACCUCGCCAUUCCUUCACGUGGACACUCGCACACUCGAUCCACUCUCAGGCCAGCAAUCUUCCAAAAUAGUGCGCCCCUCUGCACUUAUAAAUAGAGCCUUCAGUGGCCAAAUUAAAGGGAGAAUUCCUCCUCUCGGCAAAUUCCGCAAGCCAGCUCCUUCGGUUCUUUCUUUUUCCUUUUUUAUUUUAUUUUUUUAUUUUAUUUUUCUGUUUUUAAUUCAGCCAAUGGGUGGCUGAUUUCUUUCAUCUAGUUGAAUAUUGAUUGAAGUUUUAGUUGUUUAAUGGGUUGUGAGACUUGAUCAAAUAUUGUUUAAUUUUGGGAAUUCAAUAUUCAUGCAAUUUCAUAUUUAAUUCUCAUAUUAUUUUGUUAUUGAAAUCUACGUUGAUUUUUUAUUGCAAAAUAAUUAUUUGUUAGUUUGAAUAAUUUAAGUUCGUAAUUGCUUAGAUUAUUCUUACAUGAGAACACUUGGGAUAAAACCCAAGGAAAUUGCAUGAUCUAGCGUUAUCUCCAUACGUUUGGGUAGCUAGGAUUGGGUCUCUCUAUUUCUUAAUGUAAUUGACAAUUAUUUUGAUGCCUAAGGCCCAAGGACGUUCCUUGGCAAUUUGUUAAUUAGUAAUUAAUUAGAGGAUGUUCCCUAAUUGGUUUAAUCAUAAGGAGGGAUAAUGGUGGUGAGAAGCGUCUUCCAUCUCCAUAACUAAUCUAUUGAAUCAACCCAAAAGAACAAAGUGUCUGUGAUCAAUCCCAAUGACUAAAGUGGAUCCAAUACUUCAACUAGAGCUUUCUUAUUAUUUAUUUCUCUUUUAUUUUAUUAUUCGCUUAUUUUAAUUGCUUUUAGUAGUUUGUUAAUCAAAUCAAUCUCAAACCCCCCAUUUUACUUUACUGCAAUUUAUUUUUAUUCCGCUUUCAGUUUAUCUAAUUUUUUGUUUAUCUCAUUGUUUCAGUUUAUUUUAUUGGUCUUGUUGAGAAAAAUAAAUAGGUAAUCAAUUCUCUGUGGAUUCGAUCCUUCACUAUCUGCAGUUGUAAAUUGUUGAUAACCAAGAAGGUUAUUUUUGACCGGUUUCGACAACCGCGAGUCAGUGAACUUGUUAAAUCAAGCACCUACACACUAUUUUUAGGUAUCCUUAUACCUCAGCAUAUGGGGCAACUGCUUCCUUUCAUAAAUGAAAGAAGGUAUAUGUCACGUACUAUAGGAAGAGAUAUAAGAAUAAAGAUAAAGCUGUAAUCACUUAGUUUUGGAGGGAGUUUCAGUUGUGACAGCCGGUUCCAAAGGGAAGGAUCUCAAGGUUGUUAGAGUCUGUUACAAUAAGACAAGUACUGCUAUAAAUUGUAAAGAGACUCAAUUGUAAAGGCAUUCAAGAAUCCAAAUAAUAUCUCUACUUUCUCUCUCAUAAAUUUCUCAUUCUCUCCUCCCUUCUUCCUAAUUCUAUUUCUUAUCUCUCUCAAUUCUUCUCUUUCUUCUUCUCUAAUCUUCUUCUACUAAGUGAAUCUUUUGUUAGGUACAAAACCCGAACAAUUGGUAUCAGAGCAAGGUUUCAUGGAAGCAAAGCAGUCCAAUAAGAUCGGGACAAUGGCUCGAUCAGUGAUUGUAAGUCAAGAAAUGGUGAAGGUCGCUGUUAGAGUGUGAACAUAAUCUGUACAUAAUCAUAGACUAAUUGAUUGAUAGAAGAUUUUUAGGAGUUGCCUUAAUAAGAUCUUGUAAUCUGCAUAUAUACACACUUCAAUAGAGAAAAAAAUACAGAAAUUGCCCAAUUAUUCCUUAUCUUAUUUCAUGAUAUCAGAGCCUCUCCUGUAGGGAUUUGAAUUUUUUCUAUUCUGUUUGGAGACUUAGAGCUCCUGUUCUUUUAGGUUACCCAUAUAGGGUAACAUUUGUCUCUCAUUGCUCACCCAGGAAGGACGUCAGAGUCGCCUCGAAACCCCCUCAUCAGUUCUGUGGUCCGUUUGCCAUUUGGGUGUUGGGUGGAGGUGUUUUUGGUUUGGAUUGCAUUCUUAUACUAUUCAUGUCCAUUCUGGUACUAUUCACUUCCUGUUUUUCAGUGGUAGCCUACUGUUCAUUGGGUUAGAUUUUGUUAUCUUCCUUUAAUUCAUUUGAAGGUAUAGGAGUAUAGAGCUUUAGUUGAAAUGGUUUCUGAUAGUAAGACCCAUAUUAUUAAGAUUAUCCCAACGCCUUCAGUAGCGGUUGAGACAGGUAAAACUUGUCUUAUUUCCUCUUCAUAUAAAUUGGUCAUUGAUUCUAGUGCCACGGAUCACAUAUCAGGUAAUCCACAUAUUUUUACUAGCUUUCGAUCUCAUAAAGCACCUUCUCCUGUUAUUAUAGCUGAUGAGUCAACCUAUAAUGUUGAGAAUUCUGGGACUGUUAAAUCUACUCUUUUUAUUACCCUAUCAUCUAUACUAAGUUUACCUAAUCUUGUCUAUAAUUUAAUCUCUGUGAGUAAACUUACUAAAAACCUAAAUUGUUGUGUUUCCUUUUUUUUCUUAUCAUUGUCUCAUUCAAAAUCUUGUGACGAAGCAAAUUAUUGGUAAAGGACAUGUAUCUAGGGUCUCUACGUUAUGAAUGCAUGGGUGCCUCGGUCUGUUGCCUGCUCCAGUGUCGUGUCUUCGUUCGAAGCACAUUGUCGAUUGGGACAUCUUUCUUUACUACAUCUUUCUUUACUGGUUUUGAAGUUAUACCCUCAAUUUCAUGAGCUAUUUUCACUGGAAUGUGAGUCAUGUCAUUUUGCAAAACAUCAUCGAAGCUCUUUAAGUCCUAGAGUCAAUAAACGAGCUAAGCCUACUUUUGAAUUAGUCCAUUAAGAUAUUUGGGACCCAUGUCCGAUUGGAUCUAAGACUGGAUUCAGAUAUUUUGUCACUUUUGUGAAUGAUUACUCUAGAAUGACUUGGAUUUAUUUUAUGAAGCAUCGUUCGGAAGUGCUUUCUCAUUUUUCUAUCUUUUGUGCUAAAAUCAAGACUCAAUUUAAUGUUUCUAUGCAAAUUUUGCAGAUAAAGAAUAUAUGUCAGAAUCAUUCCAGUCUUAUAUGACCCAACAUGGUAUUCUUCAUCAAUCGUCAUGAGUUGAUACACCCGCUCAAAAUGGGGUAGCUGAAAGAAAGAAUCGACAUCUCCUUGAGACUGCUCAAACUCUAUUGUUUCAAAUGCAAGUUACUCGGCAAUUUUGGGCUGAUGCUGUCUCUACUGCAUACUUUCUCAUUAAUCGCAUGUCCUCCACAAUACUAAAUGGUAAUACUCCCUAUAAUGUCCUCUUUCCUAAGAAGCUAUUAUUUCCUCUAGAAUCACAACUUUUUGACAGAACUUGCUAUGUUCGGGAUGUCAAACCUCAUGUGACUAAACUUGAUCCUAAAGCUUUGAAGUGUAUUCUUUUGGAAUAUUCUCGUCUUUAGAAGAGGUAUCGGUGUUACUCUUCAGACCUCAACAAAUAUUUGGUCUCAACAGAUGUAGCAUUUUCCGAGCAAAUUCCUUUUUAUCCUAUUGCAUAAACCUCUUCUGAUCAAGAGGAGGACGAUGUGUGGCUCAUCUAUAGAAUCAUAUCUAAUGGUGGGACCUCUUCAAGCAUGCCUUCUGCUGUACAUUUCUGAUGGUAACAUUCCUCCUAGCACUCAGUCAAUUGUUCAAGUUUACAUUCGGAGACCAGUACCUGAUGAUACAUGUCCUACACCAGAAUCUUCUUCGCCAUCGGAUCCACUACCGAGUGACCUUGACCUCCCCAUUAGUCUUCGUAAAAGUAAACGACUGUGUAAGUCUACCUAUUUUGUUGCUAACUUUCUAUCUUAUGAUCACCUGUCUCCUUAUUCUACCUCCUUAAUUGUCUCUCUAGAUUCCAUUUCUUUGCCUAAGACAAUUAAAGAGACCCUGGCCCAUUUCUGAAUGGCGUGAUGCAAUGUUUGAAGAGAUCAAGGUUCUAAAUGAAAAUUAUACUUGGGAACUAGUUGAUUUACCCUCUGGCAAGAAGGUUGUGGGUUGUAAAUGGGUUUUUUCCAUCAAAGUCAAUCUAGAUGGUUCCGUAGCGAGGCUUAAGGCCCAUCUUAUCGUCAAAAGUUUUGUCCAAACCUAUAGCGUUAGACUUUUCUGACACUUUUUCUCCUGUGACAAAAAUGAUCUCGAUUCGCUUGUUCAUCUCCCUAGCUGCUUCUCAGCAUUGGCCUUUACACCAAUUAGAUAUCAAGAAUGCAUUUUUACAUGGUGACCUCCAAAAGGAGGUGUAUAUGGAGCAACCACCAAGAUUUGUUACUCAGAGGGAGUAUGAGAAAGUCUGCCGUUUGAAAAAAUCUGUGUGGUUUGAAGCAGAGUCCUCGUGCAUGGUUUCGCAAGUUCAGUGAAGUUCAAAAUUUUGGGUUGAAAAAAAACAAGUGUGACUAUUCAAUCUUCUAUAGAAAUUCAGAUACGGGUAUUAUUCUCCUUGUUGUGUAUGUUGAUAAUAUUGUCCUUAUAGGGAAUGAUAGUAUAGGGAUCUCUUCUCUCAAAAACUAUUUACAUGCGAGUUUUCAUACCAAAGACUUGGGUCAGCUUAAGAGUCGAAGUCUUAAGGAGUAAAAGGAGAAUUUUCCUAUCUCAAAGGAAGUAUAUCCUUGACUUACUUGCAGAAACCGGAAAGAUGGGAGCUAAACCAUAUAGCACACCAAUGAUUUCUAAUAUAUGUCUCACAAAGGAUGACGGAGACCCUUAUGAUGAUCCAGAAAGGUACAGGAAGUGGUUGGAAAGUUGAACUACCUCAUGGUGAUGACUCGGCCAGAUAUUGCUUUUGUAGUAAGCGUUAUAAGCCAAUUCAUGUCUGCACCUAUAGUGAAACAUUGGGCCGCUUUAGAACAAAUUCUAUGUUAUCUAAAAGGGACUCCUGGACUCAAUAUACUCUACAGUGAUCAUGGACAUACUGCACUUGAGUAUUUUUCUGAUGCUGACUAGGCGGGAUUUAAAAGUGAUAGAAGGUCAACUAAAGGCUACUGUGUAUUUGUUGGAGGAAACCUAAUGUCUUGGAAAAGUAAGAAACAAAAUAUGAUAUCCAAAUCCAGUACCAAGUCAAAAUACAGGGCCAUGGCUCAAUCCACUUGUGAGACUCUUUGGAUAAAUAAUAUGUUGAAAGAAGUUGGUACAGAUGUUGCGUCACCCGCGAAACUUUAGUGUGAUAAACAGGCUGCUCUUCACAUUGCUUCCAAUCCAGUAUACUACUAAUGGACUAAGCAUAUUGAAGUUGAUUGUCAUUUCAUCCGUAAAAAGAUUCAAGAAAAUUUAACCUCCACCAGUUAUACGAAGACAUGAGAGCAACUGGGUGAUCUACUCACCAAAACUUUAAAUGGGCCUCGAAUAGAAUAUCUUUCUAACAAGUUGGGCAUGAUAAAUAUCUAUACUCCAACUUGAGGGGGAGUGUUAGAGUGUGAACAUAAUCUGUACAUAAUCAUAGGAGAUUACAUAAUCAUAGGCUAAUUGAUUGAUAGAGGAUUCUUAGGAGUUGCCUUAAUAAGGUUUUGUAAUCUAUAUAUAUACACAUUUACUUCAAUAGAGAAAAAACACAAAAAUCUUAUCUUGUUUCAGUCGCAAAAUUGGAAGAACAAAUAAGAAAAUUCAAGAGGAACACAUUAGAGGUUAAAGAUAAGAUGAGUAACCUCGAAGCGACCAUCAAAAGGUCCUCUAGAGAUAACAAGGCCUUGAGGGAGGGUUUGUGAGCCUUUAUGAAGACUGUAUUGAUGGUUCGGAGCAAGAAUGUUGAUGCUGAGAAUGGAUCUUAGCAGUCUUUUUCCGGAGGCGGGCAGGGCACCAGAAGGAAAGGAAGGCUAAAAUAAAGGCCUAUUGCUUCUUCCCAAAGUAACUACUCAAUCAAAAGAAAUAGGUAACACUUCUAAUCCUUUUGUGAUUGCUGAGGGAAUUAAAAGAAUGUUACCUUUGAUUGAGUUAACCACAUUUAAUGGGAAAAAGUCUCAACCUAGAGUAUGACUCAAUAAGUGUUUGAAGUACUUUGAGAUUUAUCAAGUAUCACAAGUGUAGAGAGGUCAUAUUGCUAGUUUAUUUCUAAUAGAAAGAGCCAAUUCCUAGUUCCAUAAUUGGAAGAGAAAUAAAAUCAAGACCUGGGAACUCUUUGAGAAAGGAUUGUGUAAGGGGUUUUGGGAAGUAGGCUUAGAAGAUGUGGUGCAAGAAGUGAUAAGAAUAAGGCAAGAAGAGUCUGUAGAAGAUUAUCAAGACAAGUUUGAGGAGUUGAGAGUUCAAUUAGAGAGAGGCUUAUGCCAAAAUUGGGGGAAGCCUAUUUCUUAUCAGUGUUCAUUGGGGGAUUAAAGGAUGAUAUAAGGCCGGUUGUAAGGAAGAUGAAGCCUAGGAAUCUACCUUAGGCCUUUGAGAUUGCUAGGUUGCAGGAGAAAUUUUUGGACAAUUGCACGAAGUCCAAAACCUUUAAACCAUCUCCUCCCUUUAUCAAAGGCAAUUACGGUACUAGCACACCUUACCAAUCAUACAAACCAACACAAACCUCCAACCUAAAAACACCUAUCACAAAAAAUUCCAAGCCCAAUGCAAUGUCAAAUUCCCUAGAUAAAACAGCUUCAGUGGGGAGUUCCAACUCACAGACAGUCAAUAAACCCCCAAACCUAUCCAAUCAACCUAAUAGAAACCUAUCCAAACCUUGUUUCAAAUGUGGGGACAGGUAUUUUCCUGGUCAUGUAUGCAAAAACAAGAGUAUAGUAGCCUUGAAAAUGGAAGCAAGGACAGGAGAAUUGAGAGAGGGAAACAAGGCAGAAAGGGAGUGAGUAGAUGUGGCUAGAGAGGUGGAAGGAACAGAAGAGCAACCAGUGCUAUCUGUUAAUGCAAUAGAAGGCAGUGAGGGUACCCAAACAAUAAGGGUUCUGGGGUAUCACAAAAAUAGGUAAUUGAUGAUAUUAAUUGACAGUGGGAGUACUAAUAGUUUUGUGGAUAAGCAAGUAGCUGAGGAGAUCAAAUUGCCCUUUGUUCACAUACCCAUUACUACAGUUAGUGUAGCGGAUGGCAAGAAGAUUGACUGUGGGUUCAAAAGUCCUGGGUUUGUGUGGAGAAUACAGUCACAAUGCUUCACUUUUGAUGUGAGAAUCUUGAGGCUGGGGCUAUGAUAUGAUUCUGGGGGUAGACUGGUUAAAAAACUUCAAUCCAAUCCUUUUUUACUUUAAAGAACUAGGGAUUUCAAUUACAAAACAAGGGGAGCUAGUGACCUUAAAGGGCAUUAAAGAGGAAGUGCCACCAGUUAAACUAUGUUCCAACUAGGAGUUAUGGAGUAGGAAGGGAGAGGACCUGCAGAAACCUAUUUACUAUAUCUCCUUCUCAUGCAACAUUGAAGGACGAACUGAAACAACAGGAGGAAGUGAAACAACUACUGCUUAAGUACAACAGUAUAUUUGAAGAACCCAAAGCACUACCUCCAUUCAGGAGUCAUAAUCACAGAGUUCCACUACUGCCAACUUCCUAACCAGUCAAUGUAAGGCCAUGCUGUAAACCUCUAUGAUACAACCCAAUUCCAGCCCCUAACUCCCUUGUACUGUUGGUAAAGAAAAAAGAUGAAUCUUGGAGAUUUUUUGUUGACUAUAGAAGUUUGAAUGACUUAACUGUCAAGGACAAGUUGCCCAUUCCUAUAAUUGAUGAUCUGCUAGAUGAAUUAAAUAGGGCUAAGAUCUCCAAAAUAGAUUUGAAAACUGGAUACAAUCAAAUUAGAAUGGAGACUGAGGAUAAUCCAAAAAUAGCUUUUAAGACUCACCAUGAACAUUAUGAGUUUUAUUGUGAUACCCUUCGGACUCACUAAUGCCCUUGCAACAUUUCAAGCACUAAUGAAUCACAUCUUUCAGCCAUUCCUGAGAAAAUUUGUGCUCGUUUUCUUUAACGACAUCCUCAUUUAUAGCUCUAAUAUGUAGUCCCACUUGCAGCAUCUAGACCAGGUACUGCAAGAGCAGAAGUUAUAGGCCAAGCUAUCUAAAUGCUUCUUUGGGCAGGAAAAAGUGAAGUAUUUGAGUCAUCUCAUACCAAGAAAAGGAGUAGCAACAAAUCCCAAAAAGGUCCAAGCAAUGGCGACUUGGCCAGUUCCUACAACUCUAAAGCAAUUAAGGAGUUUCUUAGAGCUAACUGGAUACUACAGGAAAUUUAUGAGGAAUUAUGGGGUUAUUAGCAAGCCUUUAACUGAUCUGGCUAAGAAGGAUUCGUUUUUGUGAAUGAUAGGGCUCUAAGAGGCAUUCUAUGAACUAAGAAGAGCAAUGGCAAUAGCCCCUAUCCUAGCCAUGCCAGAUUUUGCUCAUCCCUUCACUGUGGAAACAAAUGCUAAUGGGUGGGGAAUGGGUGUAAUUCUGCGGCAAAAAGGAUAACCAAUAGCUUACAUCUCUAAAGCCUUUGGACCUAGCAGCAGGGACUCUCUAUAUAUGAAAAAGAACUCUUGGCAAUUACUUUUGCUAUUUCUAAAUGGAGGCACUACUUAGAGCAAAGGCAAUUCUUCAUUAAGAUUGACCAUGAGAGAAUUAAACAUCUCCUUGAGCAGAGAUUACGUUGCACACUAGAUUAUAUCAAAAAGGGAUUUCUAAGCUCCUUGGAUUAGACUACAAGAUUCUCUAUAAAAGGGGAGUGAAAAGCAAGGUAGCAAAUGCUCUAUCUAGAAGAUUUGGGACAGAGGAAGGCAAGAUAUGGGCAAUACAAACCUGUGUGACAUCCACUUAGAUGUCUCAAGUAAUUCAAAGUUAUGAAGAAGAUGAAUUUGUAACUGAAAAGAUCAGAACACGGGUAAUAGAUCCUGAAGGGUUAGUUGGUUAGAAGUUAACGCAAGGAUUGUUGUACUUCAAUGGAAGAAUGUAUAAGGGGAAGUCCACUAGCUUAAGAAAGCAAUUGUUGGAACUCUAUCAUGCCUCCCCCUUGGAGGUCACUCAGGGAUUCAUGGGACACAAUGGAAUUAAAAGGCACUUCUACUAGCCAUAGAUGCUUGCUGAAUUAAUGGAAUAUGUCACUCAAUGAGACGUGUGUGCCAAAUGCAAGAAUGAGCAUUGUCCUGCUCCUGGAUUAUUACUGCCCCUCCCCAUUCCUAGCUAGGCAAGGCAGCAUAUAUUCAUGGACUUCAUAGAAGGCCUAAAAAAAUUUUCAGGGAAGAAUGCGAUAUUGGUGGUGGUUUGCAGAUUCACCAAAUAUGGCCAUUUUUUACCAUUGGUAUAUCCAUUUUCUACCUCCUCAGCAGCUAAACGCUUCCUAUACACCAUAUUCCGACUGCAUGGCAUGCCACAGACUACAGUCUCAGACAGGGAUAAAGUCUUCACAAGCCUUUUUUGGAAGGAACUCUUUAAAAGCCUGGGCACUACUCUCCAUUUCAGUUCUGCAUAUCACCCAUAGAUGGAUGAGCAUACUGAACGGCUUAAUCAAUGUCUAACAAUGUACCUAAGGUGCAUAACUCACUCUCACCCCACUUUAUGGAACUCCAGGCUGCCACUUGCUGAAUGGUGGUAUAACUCAACUUACCGUAGUGCUAUCAAGAUGUCCCCAUUUGAGGCACUUUAUGGUUACGCCCCUCUAUUCUUAUCAAUAAUUCCUCUAAAAACCUGUACAAGCUCUACAGUGGGUGUUGUAGGAGAUUUCUUGACGAGAAGACAACAAUUGGCCGGCCAACAAAAGGAGAAUUUACAAAUGGCCCAAAAUAGAAUGAAAUAGAAUGCAGACAAGAAGAGAAUUAAACAAGAAUUUGAAAUGGGUGAUUGGGUUUAUUUGAAAUACAACCCUAUAGGCAGAGUUCUAUGCCUUUGAGGAAAUCCUUGAAGUUAGCAGCAAUAUGGGCCAUUUAAGGUCAUUGAAAGGGUGGGGAAGGUAGCUUACAAGCUUCAGCUGCCUGCUUCUUCAUCCAUACAUCCAGUGUUCCAUGUAUCCCUUCUUAAGAAGCAUUUAAGCCCUAAAAUCACUCCAGUCAAUGAGUUACCAAGACUGCAAGAUGAUGAGGUCAUCGUGGCCCCUGAAGAAGUCCUCUAAGACAAGGAUAAUCACCAGAGACAAUCACAAGAUUCUACAGGGACUCAUUAAGUGGAUUAAUAAGCUAUAAGCUACAUGCUAGGACCAGACUUUCAUUUUGAAGCAAUUUCCAAAAUUUGCACCUUCUUGGGGUCAAGAAAGUGCUCAUAGGAAUGGUAUUUUGUCAUGUAUCAAGAAUAAAGAUAAAGCUAUAAUCAAUUAGUUUUGGAGGGAGUUUCAGUUGUGACAGCUGGUUCCAGAGGGAAGGAUCUCAAGGUUGUUAGUAUCGAUUACAAUGAGACGAGUACUGCUAUAAAUUGUAAAGAGAUUCACGAGUAAAGGAAUUUAAGAAUCCAAAUAAUAUCUCUACUUUCUCUCUCCUAAAUUUCUCAUUCUCUCCUCUAUUCUUCCUAAUUCUAUCUCCAAUCUCUCUCAAUUCUUCUCUUUCUUCUUCUACUAAGUGAAUCUUCUGUUAGGGAUAAAACCCUAUCAGUAUACCAGUCUCAACAGUUGAGACGCAUCAAAAUUCUACAAUAACACAUAUCAUAAAGUAACUUCUUCUCAAGCAAACAAUAAAUUACUUUAUAUAACAAAACUAACAACUUUUUUAUUAGUUUUUGUAAGGGUAGUGUAAGAUAGAAAGUUUAAUAAUUUGUAUUAAUUCUUUCUUAUACAUUUCUCAUUGGUGAAGUGUGCAGUAACAAACUGUUUGUUACUGUAAAUGGUAUUUCAUAACUUGAUUUCCCACCCUCUUUGCUUUCCCAAGGAGACAACACAAACUAAAAAUAUAUAAAAUUAAAAAUGGUUUUCAUUCCUCAUCACUAUGUUUAAAACACCACAAUUGCUGGAGCUUGUGUUCACAUGCUCUUUAAUAGACAAUUUUAGGCUUAAUUAAAUUAAUACAAUCUUUGUUUUAAUGGAUUGAUUGCAUGAAAGAAUUUAUCCAAGGAAAAAAUUAAUAUGCAAAUGUAAUUUGAGGCCUUAUUUGGGAUUUAGCAUUUAUAUAAAACAUACCUCUUUAAAUCUCUUCUUCUUUUGCUCAACCUGAAAUUACAAUUUGAUGUUCUCAGGCAACUUUGAAUAAAUGAAGAGUAAAUUCAGAAAUUACUAUAACUACUGUAGAAAUCAACAUUAAAUCAUUCACUAUAUUAUCAAAACUUACAUUCUUUGGAAAAAUAUAGUCCCAAGACAAUAGAAAAUCCAGUGAGUGAAAGCACGAAAAGAAUAUGAUACAGUCAAGAUUCAAGAAAAAACAAAUAUAACGAUUAUUUUGAUUUCAUUUUGGUGAAACAUUUGUGCUGUGGAAAUAACUCAAUUUUUUUAGAAAGUAAAUUACCUUUCUACAAAAAUAUUUGUAGCACACUGAAAAAUAUUCAUCUUUUUAAUAUAAAUAAUGAAAUUAAUAUGUUUUGGCCCUCAAAAAAUGUUAUAUAUCUUUUAUUUAUAGUCAAAUAUCAGAUAUUUUGUUUAGGCAAGAUACAAAAAAUAUCAUAUGGUAUGAUGCAUUUUCGAUUGCCAUCAUUUAAAAUGCUAACAUGGCAUAGGUAAAAUUAUAACAACAACCAAAGCAACAAUCCUAAGUCAAUUGGAAGUAAAAUAUAAGAAAUACAUUUUUCAAAUUUGUGGAAUCCAAUUAAAUUACUAAUUUCUAGAAAGAAAAUAACUAAAUGUGAUUUUAAAGAAAUUUAAAAUAAUAGUUUUUAUCAUAUCACCUCAGACACAGAAGCAUUUUUAAUAGUGUUAGAGAAGCUGGCUGCUAAUUGCUUAUGGAACAAAAUACAAUGUGCCACCUUGUCAUAAAAACCACAACCUCGUAAUUGAGGAACACCAAGCCACAUCAUAUUUUAUUAUGCUUUACCUUAUAUCUAUAUAGUGGUUAACUGUGAUUGUUACAAGUGGUUACUAAUGGCCCGGAACACCAUGGCAUGCAGUAGAAGAAGAAAAAAUUGAGCUAAAAAAAUGUGGGAAAAGUGCAAAUCGGCAAGCAAAAAGAGCAACAAAAAGCUUUUGCUUACAAGAACAAUAUGAAGAACGGCUUCAAAAGAGAAGGUAAAGCAUGGAGUAAGGAUUACAACAUUCGUGAUUGAGGGGAAAAGUGGAAGAAGGAGAAGAAGAAGAAGAGCUUGUUUCUGAUAAAUUCACCUUAAAUACAAGAGAAAAGGUUUUUCAACUUAGGGACUGCUUUUCUAUAGGUGAGAUUCGAAGAAGUUUAGUAGUGCCAUAUGAAUUGACUCAGUCCUAAACAAUUAACUAAUAAAACAGUAAAACAGUAAAAGAUAAAAAUAGCCAGCUAAAUUUUCAAAGCAACUUUGGUUGCAACGAUAUUGGUAAAAUUCAAAAUGGAAGGAAACUGGAAGGGGGGAAAAAGUCCAACUCCAUUUUGUUUAAGAUGCUGCGUAUGGUAAAUUUUUGUUGCCUCAUGUUAGCAUUCAAGAGAUAGACUUUGACAUUCCAAAUUAGAUUCUAACAAGAAAAGAAUGAUGCAAAUAGAACUGAGCUCAAGAAUAAUAAUGAGAAAAAAAAGACUAUAAACAUAGAAUUACAGUCAUAUUUCAUGAAUGGAUUAUUUGAAGAAUACCUGGUUUAAAUUAUUUAUAUAGUCACAACAUUUAUAAUUAUUCCAGUAAGGUAGUACCUAGUCUAGUAUAUUAAAAUGUCACAAGAUUAUUCUUGUGAUUUUCAACUUUGUUAGAAUGGAUUGGAUAGUGGCUUUAGGAUUUCUUUUGAAUUCUUAUUUGUACAGGAGAAUGUUAUUCUUGUUAAUUUUCUACAGAAGACCCAUCACUCCAUCAGUUAAGGACUACAACCAUGGUUUUAGAAAACCAUUAUUUAUAGCAAAAAUGGCCUAUCAUUGCAGUUAAGGUCUUUAAACAACGGAAUUUUAAAAAAAUGGGGUGUCAUGGUCAUUAAGUUGUUGCAAUGGCUGUUACUGACCAUUACUUAAUGGCCAUUAUUCUAGAAAGGUAACAUCUUUUGGCUCUUUCUUCCACUAUUAUCAUGUGUACAAUUAGCUGAAGUUUCUUCCCUUUCCAUAAAGGCAGCAGCAAGAGCUGACUGCUUAGCAGAGGCAGCAUAAUUGCUUUAUUAUGUCAAAUUUCUACACUUCCAUUCUAGCAUUUUCCAGAAUUUUUUUCAACUAUCAAGUGAAAUAUUUCAUUUCUUAAAUCUCUGAGCUUAAAAGUUCAGAUCAUUCAAUAGACAAGGAGAUUUUGAAAUGGAGGAGAGAAAAUCAAUACUUUCUACAUUCAAAAUUUUGCAUAAGGUGUGUUAUUUAUAUUUGUUGCUAGUGUUUGCUCAUUUGCAAGUUCAAUUUCACAGUCCCAUGAAAUAAGUCAAAAUAAUCAAGAACCUCUUGAACACUCAUUUUGGUGCUAAUAUGGUUAGUUCUUUACUAUCUGCCUAAUAAUUUUAGUUUUAAAUUGAUUAAUGCUAAUAAUAUCUAAGAAUGAUGGAUUAUAUAUCUUCGUUUGAUAUAUUUAUGCUUAUUAUUUAUUUGCGUAUCUUAGUUUUAAAUUAUAUCUUUAUAUAUUUAUUCAUCUCAUGAACUUUGUCAAAGGACAUUAUUAUUAUGUAAUGACCAUUAUAAACCUGUUUCUAUUACUUGCAACUGUGAAGUCAGCCAGCCUUUAUGCAAUUUUAAAACCAUGGUUAGGACAAUCUCUAAAUUCCCGAUAAUUAGAAGAUUUAGUAUUAUUUGGCCUUUGAGUAUAUAAAAUUAUAUAGUUGGCUAUAUGGUGCAUCUAUAUAUGAUAUCUAAGGAAGUUUAGGUGCAAAGCCAAAAACCUGUAGUUUUUCCUGUUCAUUGUGCUGAUUCACUAUGCCAACAUUCAAACACCCCUCAAACAUCUUCCUAUCAUAUGCUAUUUUGCUUCAAUAUAGUAGUUGAUUAGAANNNNNNNNNNNNNNNNNNNNNNNNNNNNNNNNNNNNNNNNNNNNNNNNNNNNNNNNNNNNNNNNNNNNNNNNNNNNNNNNNNNNNNNNNNNNNNNNNNNNNNNNNNNNNNNNNNNNNNNNNNNNNNNNNNNNNNNNNNNNNNNNNNNNNNNNNNNNNNNNNNNNNNNNNNNNNNNNNNNNNNNNNNNNNNNNNNNNNNNNNNNNNNNNNNNNNNNNNNNNNNNNNNNNNNNNNNNNNNNNNNNNNNNNNNNNNNNNNNNNNNNNNNNNNNNNNNNNNNNNNNNNNNNNNNNNNNNNNNNNNNNNNNNNNNNNNNNNNNNNNNNNNNNNNNNNNNNNNNNNNNNNNNNNNNNNNNNNNNNNNNNNNNNNNNNNNNNNNNNNNNNNNNNNNNNNNNNNNNNNNNNNNNNNNNNNNNNNNNNNNNNNNNNNNNNNNNNNNNNNNNNNNNNNNNNNNNNNNNNNNNNNNNNNNNNNNNNNNNNNNNNNNNNNNNNNNNNNNNNNNNNNNNNNNNNNNNNNNNNNNNNNNNNNNNNNNNNNNNNNNNNNNNNNNNNNNNNNNNNNNNNNNNNNNNNNNNNNNNNNNNNNNNNNNNNNNNNNNNNNNNNNNNNNNNNNNNNNNNNNNNNNNNNNNNNNNNNNNNNNNNNNNNNNNNNNNNNNNNNNNNNNNNNNNNNNNNUAAGAGGAAGUUUCAGUAAGCUUUAGUUCCCAAAUACCAGAUCAACACAAAAGAAUCAAGGUUGUCAUUCUGGUUUUAAUCAUUUCCUUACCAGGUAAAAAUAGGAUAUCUGAAACAUAAAAUUUCAACUCUCAACUCUACAAACCAAAUGAAAUCAGAAUCUAGAACCUGGAAAAAAGAAAAUCUGUACUCAAUUAUCUCUAAUUACAGCUAUUAAAUGCCUGUGUCAAGCUCAAAGCUAACACCAGACUCCAACCCUCCCUCUACAAAAGAAACGCAGAUAACAGUGACUAGGCAUUCGCUAUCAUGUAGACAGAAUGACAUGGAGCCAAAUUUCUUCCUUACAAAAGUAAGGUUGGCUAUCAGAUUUUGCAGGCAUUUUUGGGAUUGUAAACAUUAAGCCAUUUGACCAGCUAAUUUUUUAUUAACUAACAGGAAAAAAAAAUUUGACAGAAGGGCUUUAUACUAGUCAGAGAUAAAGUACAGGAAUCUCGUUGUUCAAUUUUGAAACACUCAGAAUUCAAAACAUAGUAACUAUGAUAAACUACAGUGGGAAAAUAGCAAUGCACCCUUUGAUAAAUGCCGUAUUAUUCUCAGAAUGUAAUUUAACCUUUAACAUCCUCUUCAUAGAAAUACUAUGUUUAAAUAUCUGAUACCGAGGAACAUACAAUCUGAGAGUUCCCUUCAUAAAAUUUGUACCCUUAAAGUUCUAAACAAACUCUCAUCGAACACACUAGACUAUGCUCCAUAGUAAAAGCAGCAUUAGUGCUCCUUAACAGAGAAUCUGGACAUAAAGAGUAAUGAAAUAUUUUCAACAACCAAACAAAGGAAAAACUGAAAACCGAAAUACCUUUAGGGAAAAGAAGAAAAAAAAAAAAACAAAAGAAUAAAGAAUUUUUUAGCAGCCAAACAGAAACAUAAACAUGAAAAUAAAAGUAUCAAAAAAAUAAGAAAGAAAAACAACCUGUUUACGUUCCCUAGACCUGGCAGCAGAUUCACGAUUCUUGAUCAUUCUCCUCUGCUUCUGCUGGGUGGCCUUAUCCAUUGGAGGUUCUUCCACAGCCCUCCUCUUCUGCCUCCCUUUCCCUCCUUCUGCCACCACCAUCAUCCCAUUUCCCAACCCCUGAAAUUCUCCAGUAUCAUAAUUACUAUUAUUCUCAUUAGUUAUUUUGCUAUUGCUAUCCACACCAUAAGCUCCUACAGCAGCCCCCACCUGAACCGGAAUUCCAACCCCUCUAACAUCCUCCUCCCUCACUGCACCGGCCUUAGUCAGAAAAUCCUCCAAAGUCAUCCCCUCGAUUCCUCCACCACCACCAUUUUCAUCACGCCGGUGAUCCCCGCCGGCCACAAUUUCCUUCCAAACGUCAUCAACGGACUUGCUAGCAGCUUCCUUAGGCAUAGGGAAGCUUCCAUCGCGUGAGAUCGACGCGCCACCGGAGAAGGGGGGCGCGUGGGGAUCGUCUGGUGUCGGUGGAGUAGGAUAAGAGUAUAUGUUUUUCAAUAGAUCGUCCAUGGUCGCGGAGAGCAAAGGGCUCUGAGAAUUAGAAGAGAACUGGUUUUGGUUUUGGAGAUCGGCGAGCAGGGUUGAGAGGGAGGAACAUAAAGAGGGUUGACGUGGCAUAUCAGGAUUCGUCGUUGACGAGGUCGCCAGAACCUUCGACGACGCCAUAGUCCAAAAUCCAGAACCUAAAAGCGGAUUUAUAGGCUAACACUAACAGGUUCGUUUCUUGUUGGCUCCUCUCUCACAUCUACGCUAAGGUAAAGCGAGAAUUGGAAGUUAAGGAAUGACGGUAAAUAUGAGAGAGCGAAUAUAAAGCAAACGGAGAUGAAAAGACUAGAGCACGCUGAGAAAAAGCUACAGAAACUAGGGAAAGUCAUAAGAAUGCUGCCGGUACAUGACGGGCUGUAUCAAAAUUUAGGGCUCGCUUUAUUCCUUAGAAAUAAUUGAUAAUUGAUAGACCAUGGUUCAAAGUAUUUAGCAAACUAUAUUUAAUGGCUACUGUUUAUAUGAAAAAUAAUGUAUAAAUUAUAUAUUAUUUAUUAUUAAAAUAUAUAAUUAGUAAUUUAUCACAUAUAAGAUUUAAAAAUAUGAUCACUAAUAAAAUAAAAUUUAUUUAUUAUGUAUAUAAGUUAUUUUUAUAAUAUUUAUAUUUAUUUUAUAAUUAUAAUAAUUUAUUAAUAUAUAUUGAAAUUUAUUUAAUAUAAAAAAUUAAUAAUUAAUAAGUACUAAAAAAAUAUAAUAUGAUCUAAAUAAAAUGUAAACUCUUACCAGCCAUCCAAAUAAAAUAAUUUUAAAAAAUUUUUAAAUUAAAAAUGAUUGAAAAGGAAGCCAAUAAAUUACCAAACACUAAACUAGCUAUUUGGGAGCUAAUAAACUAUUAACCGAAUGAAAAUUAAUAUUACUAUAUUAUAUUAAUAACGAGGCCGAAAUUGAACUGAGUUGUGAUUGACUAAAACCUAUAAGAGAGAAAGUGUGAAGCGGUGGUGGAUACUCACGACAGCUACUUUAACGCUCUAAGUUAGUACUCUGAAAAAUAUAAGCAAUGGACUCUUUAGAGUUUAAGCAGUGUUUGAGAUAGUGUAUUUUUGUCUCUGCGAUUGCUCCCUUUUAUAUUGCGAGAAGAGGAGAUAAACAUAGCAUUUCUCGAGAAUCAAAUGAUGAUGUGGUCGGCUACUCGAUAAGGGAUAUCGCCAGCUAAUAAGUUGGUAAUCAUGCGAUUUUAGGCGAAACGGGAGUAUGCCUGAUAAUAGUAACUCUAUACAAAGAUUCGGCCUAUCGAGGGAAUGGGCGAGUCAUGACGGUGAUCCGGGUGUUAAAGUGUUUGAGUUUCGGAUAAGACCGCAUUUUUCACUUGUCAGAUUUUUGUCACGUGAUCCUUAUUUUAUGGUGACAGCUCAUAGCUUAUUUUGGGCGGAUGUUAUAUAACAGCAGAGGUUCCCCCACUAGUCUUUGUUUCUUCAUAUUCGAAAAAGACAUCUUUUACUGAGGUUCGAGACAUGUGGCUACUCGAGAUUGGCUAUUUGCUACUCACGUUGCUUCGCAUACUAAUCCUUUUGACGGCUGCUGCGAUGUUUUUCAUGCCGGAUUUAAUGCUCGUUGUCGAGACCAUCUUUAUAAAGGUCCAUCGUCUUCUCCAAGCAUCCCUUUAGUGUUUUUCUGCAACUUAUUUUUCCAAAAGAAUUCACUCUUGUGACUCUCUUCUCGCUUCUAUUAAAGUCCUUGCUUGUUUCAUAGUAACUUUGUUGUCUUUUUGAUAUAGAUAGGAACACCUCUUCCUCCCCUAGAGGGACCUCUAUUUCCAAUUCCUCCUCUAACGGCCCCAUCCGAGUGCCAGCCCCUAUUGUUCCAUUGAAAGAGACCUCUGAGAAUGAGGGUGGCUCCCUUAGUGAUAUCCCAUCUAUCUUCUCGAAUAGCGACGUGGAUCGUUAUAUAACACCUAUCACAUUCCUCAAAAUUCUUUUUGAAUUUUUGCUCCCUCUCCUCAUGUUCAUGCUAACAACCUAUUCCUACUGGCGACACUAUCAUGGUCUUCGAGGAGCAAUUCAAGGCGGGUCUUCAUUUCCCUUUAGACCCCUUCUUUGUGGAGGUCCUUCAUUUUUACAAGCUUUUUGUCGCUCAGCUUCACCCUAAUAGCUAGAAAAUCUUGGUAGUCUUUCGGUUUGUGUGUUUAAUAAUCACAUUGAAACCUAGCAUAGUACUUUUCUCCCAACUAUCCAAUUGGGUACUCGUAAGAAUGAGGAGUUCUGGUACUUUAGCAGUCGAAAGUGCUUGAAUAUUUUUUGCUGGAUGCCUUCUUCUUUAAAACGGUGGAAGAAUAACUUUUUUAUCCUCCAUCGUACUCUGGGGAUUUUGUGCGCCUUCAAACUAGCUAGCACUACUGGGUAGAACUGAAGAAGUAUGGGGUCUGCCCGAGGAGAGAGGAAGACAAGGCUUUAGCUUCCUUUAUGGCAAUGGCUAAAGCGUUAAGGAAGAUUGAUAUCAUCCAGGCGGUGAGGAAUGCUGCUUUAUCCUGGCAGAGUCAUCUGUCAAUAGGCUAGACCCAGGCUCCUCACUCGCCCAAUGCACCCUUACCUCAGGAUCAUGGUACUUCUUUUUUUGUUCUUUUUAUUUUUUGAACUGACUAUCUUACUUACUCUUCCUCCUUUUUGCAGAUAUGGCUGGGUCAAGCAGAUUCGCCAAGGCAGUAUGUGCUACUCAAAAGGGCAAAUUUGUUAUUGCUAGUCCCCUUGCUAAACGUGCUCACCCUUCGGAGGAGGUGAUUAUACUUCCCUAUCCCCAUUCCCAACCUACGAUUGAGAAGUUGGCACCUCUUCAGCCUAAAUCUUUGGUCCCAAGCAUUGUUGCUACCACCUCAGCCCCUGUGCUUCCUGUUGAUGCCCCUUCUUCCUCCGCUCUUGUGAGCGUUGGGGUCAAGUCUUCCUGGCCCGUUGGUAUUUAAUGUUUGGUCUUGGCGCUAAACAGGGUGCCAUCUCUCCUUGAUGACCUUUCUAUGGGUCUCCUGCUAAUCAAAAGUGUCCUGAGGCCCGCAGAUCUUCGUCAUUUGAACGAGGUUGAGAUGGACGAGCUAUUUGUUAAUGCUAUUUAUUUUGCAUUGGAGGGUGCCCUUUGUGACUAUGUGGCCAAGGAGUGUUUUAGAGCCUUGAGGUGAGAAUUUGGCACAAACGAGAUGCAUAAGGAGCUUUUGGCUAAGGAAUUUUCAAACUUGAAGGUCCGGAUGGCCGAAGUUAAGGGUAUGAUAAAGGAGACCCUAAAGUCGAUGGACAAGCUUUAGGCUGACCUUGACACGGCCCUUGCCUCUAAUCUGGGCCUUGAGAAUCGGGCUAAAUCUACUGAGGAUCAAGUAGCCCUAUUACAACGCCAGGUCUUGGAGCUGCAGACUCAAGCUGAAGAGGCCCGGGCUGCCUCCACCAGGGUAACCGAGCUAGAGGAGGAACUCAAGGAGACAGUAGCCCUAGGCAAGGAGAUGUUUGUUCAAGGCUAGUAUUCCGUGAAAAAGGAGCUGAGCAUUUCCCUUCUGAGGAAUUCUCCUAGAUAGAUGACAUCUGUUAGUAUAUUUGUCCUAGGCCAGGAAUUCUCCUAGAUAGAUGACAUCUGUUAGUGUAUUUGCCCUAGGCCAUUAUCUUGGAUUUUUUUGUAUGUCAUUUUGUUUAUUAAUAAAAAAAGGUUUUAUUAUUAUUAUUAUUUGUUUACAUGUUACAUAAUAAUUAUUAACAUCCUUGGUUACUUAUUAUUAUGAUGAUAAUAAUAAAAUAUGACUAGUAUGAUUAUUGAUUGAUAAUUAUGAGAUAAUUAUAUGUACGUUGAUAUAAAUCAAUAAUCAUAGAUACUUAUUAGAGAACAAAGUAUUGGAUGGACUCACAUUGAGAUCACUACAUGGGUUAUUUUUAUAAGUGAAUCUCAAUAUAGUUAUGUGUUAAUCUUUUGACUUGAGAUUGUCAUAGUUUCCAACAUAAGAACUGUUAUGUUUUGACAUAACUAAACAUUGUCUUUAAUCGGAUAAUCAUAAAGAUUAUGAUUGAGCAUAAUAGAAAUUAUGUAGAGGAUAUUGAACAAUCAAGAUAGAAUUUGUUUCUCUAAAGAGAUGGAUAUCUUCUGGGUCUCUCGAUAAGUGAGACUGAGGAAUGCAUAAUUGUGCUCAAAUGAAUUAAUAAUGUGAUCAAUAUCAUUUAGUUUUACCAGCCUACUUAGAGAUUAAGAAAUCAUAAGUUUGAUAUUGAUCAUGACUUAUGUUCAAACUAAAUAUUGUAACGACCCGGAAACUGGACCGCUACCAGCGCUAGGGUUCAGAUCGACUUAAGGUCGCCGGAACCCAUAGCAAGCCUACUAUACAUCUUGUGUACCUGAUAAAAAAUCCCAUACAUGAUCAUACAUUUUCAUAAAACUUAAACAUUUCACGAACCAAGGCCUGACCUGUGCAUGCAUCAUAAACUGUAUACAUAAAAUCCAUAUUAGAGCCCUCAUCAAAUGCUCUAGUAUGGUAAACAUCACAUGCCUCAAGUUUGGUUCAAACAUAACUCAUCAUUAAAACUUUUACAUAAAGAUCAUGAAUAACAGGGAUUUAUAAAAACAUAUACUAGGGCCAAGCAUAAUUCUAAUCCAUUAAAAAUUUACAUGUCCACAACUAUACUAUUACUAUACCAGCUACUAUGCCGACUUUCCAAGCUAUCUUCGACCCUGUAAACCUGGGGUUAGGGGUUAGGGGAAAGGAAUAAGCUACAAGAGCCUAGUGAGCAGAACCAUAAAAACAGUUUAAUAAACAUAUGCUCAUAUGAAAUGUGUCACAGCAGAAACAAUUCACAACAAGAUGGACUUGUCACCAGUAACCCUCCACAUUCCAAAUAGUGCCCAGCCCUCGACGGAGCUCCUCAGGACUUACUCUUAAACAUAACAUAGCAUAUCCAUAAAUGUCAGGGGCGUAGAAUGGGCAGCCCUGAUCUUUCUCUUACAUAGUGCCAGGGCGCGUAGAAUGGGCAGCCCUGGUCUUCCGUAUCCGUCAUAACAUAACAUGCUCGAGGGCUAGUGGGUCAUCCAAUAUCCAUCCACAACAACAGCAAAUUAUGCAAUGCAUCAUAUUCGUGAAUUCUAAUGCAAAACAACCUAAUACAUAUACAUGGCAUUCGUGAUGCAUGAACAUGCUUAAAAGUUUAGUUACUUUGAAAAGAUAGUUCAGUUCUACUUACCUCUCGCUGACGCUUGACUAAAACUGUAGCAGCUGACUCACUGCUGGCCUCUACGGUCUCCCAGGUCCGAUCCUACACAGAUGGACUCCUAUAAGGGACCAAGCAUAGCUAACACAUGACUCUAAACAACUCCCCAAAAACCCACUAAAAUAUCACAAAACAUGCACAUAAAACAAGCACACAAAACAUGCACAUAAAACCCACAUUAGAGCCCCAAAAACCCCCUACAUAUUCCAAAUAACCCUUAACCCUUUUUAAAACUUACUUAAAAUAUAGGAAAAGGCGAGUGUAAUACCCGACUAGAUUUCGGCAUCGGAAUCCCUACCUUCCGGCGGAAUCUCCGUUGAAAUCUGGAAUUCUGAAGAUGCCAGAGUCUUCUAGAGGGGUAAAAUGUGUUUCUAAAAUGUUUUCACAUGAUUUUAUGAUUUUAAAUGGAAAAGAAAUGGAGUUUUGAAAAGAAUAGGCCAAGGAGGAAGGACCCAGGUUCGGCCGCCUAACCUCAAGUUCGGCCGCCGAAUAUGGGGCUGUUUUGGGAGUGCUUUAGGCCUCCGAAAGCUUUGAGGGCAGAAACCAGGUUCGGCCGCCGAACCUCAAGUUCGGCCGCCGAACCUCAAGUUCGGCCGCCGAACCUCAAGUUCGGCCGCCGAACAUGGGUUAGUUUAGGAGGUAAGUUAGGCUGCCGAAGGUGGUAGAGCUGUGGAGACAGCUUAGGCCGCCGAAGGUGGUUGACUGGCCACCUAUAAAAGGCCCUCAGACCGAAAAUGGGUGAGUUUUCUCCCCAUUCUCGAGCUCAAGUGUGUUCAUGUCCUCCUUUGGUUGAUUUCAUGUUCUUUCUUCAAACCCUUCACGUUUUUAUGAGUUUCCUUUUGGGUUUUGAAGUUUUAAAGCUUAAAUCAAGUUUUGGGAGCUUGGAGAACCAAGGAGUUUGUUUCCUCCCAUCUCCAAGUUAGGGAUCACACCAACCCUCGAUCUUCAAGAGGUAAGUGUAGAUCCUUGCUUUCAUUUAUGUUUAAUAAAGUUUUAAGUAAGUUUGAAGGAAGUUUUAAUGCUUGAGUAUGGGUAGAUAUGCAUGUUAGGAUUUAUGUGGGUUUUAUGCCCAAUGUAUGCUUAUGUGAUGUUUGUGUUGAGGUUUAAGUUAGUUUAUGCCCCUUUAUGCAUGUGGGAGUGUGUAUGCAUGUUUGGGAGAGGGCAUGUGAGGUUUUGGGUGGUUUGGAGAUUGGUUUUGCUUGUGUCAGAUUCGGACCUGCUGUUCGGAGGGAACCAGGUUCGGCCGCCGAAGGUAUGUUUGGCCGCCGAACCUGCAUGGAAGGCAGCUUUGGCUGCCUAACGUGCCCCCGAAGGCCAGGACUUUCGGAUCUGUGUGAGGCUUCGGCCGCCGAACCUGCCGCCGAACCUGCCAGACUUUCGGCUCUUGAAGGAUUUUCAGCCGCCGAAAGUGCCCCCGAACCUGCAUGGCUUUCGGCUCUGGAAGGACAUUCGGCCGCCAAAAGUGCCCCUGAACCUGCAUGGCUUUCGGCUCUGAAAGGGACAUUCGGCCGCCCAAAGUGCCGCCGAAAGUGCCCUGUCCAGCCCAUUCUUGGUUGUUUUCUAUGUAUGUUUUGAGGAUGUUUUAGGGGGUUUUUGGGGAGUUGUAUAUGAGUUGUUGAGAGUGUGUUUGGCACCUCAUUCGAGUCCACCUGUGUAGGAUCGGACCCGAGGGACCGAGGAGGCCAGCAGAGUUAGCUAUUGCAGAGUCAGUCUAGCGUCUGCCAGAGGUGAGUAGAACUAACUCAAAUGUUUUAAGCAUGUUCACGCAUCAUGAAUACCAUGUAUAUGUAUUAGGCUGUUGCAUUAGAUUUCACGAAGAUGUUGCAUUGCAUAAUUUGCUGUUGAUGUGGAUGGACAAAGGCGACCCCAAUAGCCCUAGCUAUGAUAUGUUAAUGAAGUCCUGAGGAGCCCCACCGAGGGCCGGGCAUAAUGAAGUCCUAAGGAGCCCGAAGGGCCGGGCAAUAAUGAAGUCUUGAGGAGCCCGAAGGGCCGGGCACUAUGUUAUGUUACAGAAGUCCUGAGGAGCUCCUUUGAGGGCCGGGCACCAUGAUAUGUUACAGACAGAGGGAAUUUUGGUGGUCAUGUCCAUCCGUGAUGUGAAAUGUUUGUGCUGUGACGCAUUCCAUGAAAGCAUGAUUUAUUAUUGUUUUUCUAUUCUGCUCACUGGGCUUUUUAGCUCACCCUUUUCCCCUAACCCCCAGGUUUGCAGGUCAGAGGUAGUCCAGGAAGACGUCAAGGGUAAAUGUCAUGCUUAUGUAAUAGAUUAGUGUUUUAGUGUGGACAUGUAUUGUAAAAUUGAUGUAAUGUAUUGCAAGAUAAUGUAAUGAAAUUUAACGUAAAAUAGAGUUAUGUUUAUGGAUUAGUGUUGUGCUUGGCCCUAAGGCUUGGUUAGUCCCUUUUUAGUACAUGAUGUAUGUUAUGUUUUAAUGUUGAGUUGAGUUUGAACCAAACUUAUGGCAUGUGAUGUUUACCACGCUAGGGUAUUUGAUGAGGACUCUAGUGGAGGUUUUAUGCUUAUGGUUUUUGAUGCAUGCACAGGUUAGGUUUUGGUUCAUCGGAUGUGAUCCAAGCUUGAUGUAUGUUAUGUUGACCCAGCUAGAGCUUUUAUUGAGGGCUCUAAUAGGGGGUUCCUUAUGUUUUCAGUUAUGUAGCAUACAGGUCAAGCUCGGUAUAUACAUCAGAUGUUUAAGUUUUUAUGUUAAUAUUUUGAUCAUGUAUGGGAUUUGACCAGGUGAUAGGAUGUAUAUUAGGCUUGCUACGGGUCCCGGCGGCCUUAAGCCGAUCUGGAUCCUAGCGCCGAUAGCGUUCCGAUUUUCGUGUCAUUACAGAUUGGUAUGAGAGCCCUAGGUUCAUAUGGUCGGACCUAGAGUGCGUUGGGCUCAUAGAGGUCAUAAAAAGGCAAGCAUAAUAGGCAAAAUCAUGUCCACUAGGAUAGGAUGUAAAGUCCUGUCUUAAUUGAUGUUAUGAAAUGCCAUGAUUUUAUGCAUGUGCAUUAAUGGUAUGCUAUGUAUGUGAUGCAGGUUCAUGUGUUUCCACAUGAACCGUAUGAUGCUAAUGAUUGUUUGUAUGAUUGUGUGUUGUGCUUCAGAGGAGCUAGGAUGCGAGGCAUUCGUCGAUCUGUGGAAUCGACUGGAGUUCCGUCUGAGAGGGAAGGUAUGGGCACCUUUUCCCCUACUCUGCCAAGAGCGCAGUAGUGUAGAGUCGGCAGAUGGGGAACAUCAAGGGACCCUGGAAGGUCUUUUGAUGUAAGCAGAGAAGGAAUGGAUCUAAGGAGAAUGUCAGCUAAUGCGAGAGAAGUAGAGAUGGAUGUUCAGAGGAGAGAUGUCAGUCUGGAGGUCAACCUGUUUGAAGAAGGAAUGGGAGAGUCUCAAGAAGACGCUCAAACUCAGGAUUCCAGAAUCUCAGGUUUAGGAGGAAUUGAUCCCUCCACUCUGAGUACAGCUGCCACGAGAAGUAAGAAGUGGGGCAGAACCCUGAGGGGAAAGAAGAGUAAGUUUUGGAAGAGGUUGAAGUCUAGUAUGGGAUUAGGUGGUGGUUCGAGUUCUGGCUCCGAUACUUCUGGAUGCAUGAGGUGUGGGAGGCCGCACAAAGGGGUUUGUCAGUAUGGGACUAAUCUAUGUUUUAGAUGCGGUCAGGAAGGGCACAUGGUACGUGAGUGUCCCAUUGCGCCCUGGUUGGCACAGUCUCAGCGGGCAACUCCAGGUAGAGCGGUUCAGCCAGCAGCUCCAGCCAUGUUUCAGGUCAGUGGUCGAGGCAGAGGAAGAGGGUCAGCCUCUUCUUCAGCAGGUUCCCAUGGAGAAGGUCCGUCAGCUCCAACACGGAUCUUCACCCAAGCUCAGCAGGAGGCAAACACAUCAAACAUGGUGGUGUCAGGUACGCUCACUUUUGAAUGUUCUGAUGUGUAUGUUUUUGUGAACCCUGGUAUUUCUCUUUCUUUAGUUGCUCUAGGAGCCGUCGAGAGGUUGAGUUGAUAACUUCUGGGCUAGAGUGUCCUCUUUGGGUCAGUGAACCCAAGUGUGAUCCAUUUGUGGCAGAGUCAGUCUGCCAGUCCAGUUUAGUAUCAGUUGAGGGUAGAUGCCUUCCACCCGACCUUGAGGUCCUAGACUUGACUGUCUGGACGUCAAUCGAGGGAUGGAUUGGUUUUCUACUCGUGGUGCUAUCUUGGUCUGCAAAGACAAGGUAGUCAGGUUCAGAGGACAGGAUGGGUCAGAGGUAGUCUGUUGAGGGGACAUAGUAGGGAUGCCUAGAGGUUUGAUGUCAGCCUGUCAGGUUCGUAGGGUGCGUAGGAGGGGUUGUCAGAGGGUUCUAGCUCUUAUUGAGAGUUUAGCAGUCAGGUCAGGGAACCAGCCUCCGUGUCUAUUGUUGAGAGAGUUCUUAGAUGUUUUCCCAGGCGAGCUGUCAGGUUUACCACCAACUAGGGAGAUAGAGUUUGGAAAUAGAAGAGAUACCAAGCAUCAGGUUCAUCUCUAUUCUUCUCUACAGGAUGGCACCUGCAGAGUUGUAGGAGUUGUUAGAGCAGUGGCGAGAGCUUGGUAGACAAAGGUUUUAUCCGACCUAGUACCUCACCCUGGAUUGCUCCAGUGUUGUUGUGGGAAAAGCAGGAUGGAUCCUGGAGACCCUGUGUCGACUUCAGGCAGUUGAACAAGGUCACUACCAAGAACAGGUAUUCCCCACCUGUUGAGGGUUAGGAAAGAAGUCAGUUCAGCAGAGAAGAAGGGAGAAGAGAAAGGAUCAGAGUGCGCAGCGGAAGCUUGUGGAGUUCAGGAGAAGGCUGGGGUAUUGCUUAUGGUGUCUCCUAUGAAGAGGUGAUUCGUUAUGGGAAGAAGGGUGAACUAGCUCCAAGAUACAUCAGACCCUUUGGAGUGCUACAAAGGAUUGGGAAUGUAUCCUGCAAGUUAGAUUUACCUACUUCCAUAGAGAAAAUCCAUUCGAAUUGCCAUGUUCCUGUGUUAUGGAAGUUCGUGUCAGAUCCAAGUAAGGUUCUUAAAGGACCAAAGGUGGAGAUCUUGGAGGGUCUCACCUAUGUUGAGCAGCCAGUGCGGAUCAUUGACACACAAGUCAGAAAGAGAGGGAACAAAGAAAUCCCGAUGGUGAAAGUCCUUUGGGAUCGCCAGUGCGGGUGGGUUCGCUUGGGAGACUCGGGAGUUCAUAAUCCAGCAGUACCGUAUCCCUUUUAAGAGGGAGGUUUUUAGGUUUUGCUUGCUUGUUUAUGUAUGCUUGAUGCUAUGUUUUUUAGAAUGCCUGUUUGUUUGAACAUUCGAGGAUGAAUGUUCUUAAAGGGGGGAAGAAUGUAAUACCCGGCUAGAUUCCGGCAUCGGAAUCCCUACCUUCCGGCGGAAUCUCCGUUGGAAUCUGGAAUUCUGAAGAUGCCAGAGUCUUCUAGAGGGGUAAAAUGUGUUUCUAAAAUGUUUUCACAUGAUUUUAUGAUUUUAAAUGGAAAAGAAAUGGAGUUUUGAAAAGAAUAGGCCAAGGAGGAAGGACCCAGGUUCAGCCGCCGAAUAUGGGGCUGUUUUGGGAGUGCUUUAGGCCUCCGAAGGCUUUGAGGGCAGAAACCAGGUUCAGCCGCCGAACCUCAAGUUCGGCCGCCGAACAUGGGUUAGUUUAGGAGGCAAGUUAGGCUGCCGAAGGUGGUAGAGCUGUGGAGACAGCUUAGGCCGCCGAAGGUGGUUGACUGGCCACCUAUAAAAGGCCCUCAGACCGAAAAUGGGUGAGUUUUCUCCCUAUUCUCGAGCUCAGGUGUGUUCAUGUCCUCCUUUGGUUGAUUUCAUGUUCUUUCUUCAAACCCUUCACGUUUUUAUGAGUUUCCUUUUGGGUUUUGAAGUUUUCAAGCUUAAAUCAAGUUUUGGGAGCUUGGAGAACCAAAGAGUUUGUUUCCUCCCAUCUCCAAGUUAGGGAUCGCACCAACCCUCGAUCUUCAAGAGGUAAAUGUAGAUCCUUGCUUUCAUUUAUGUUUAAUAAAGUUUUAAGUAAGUUUGAAGGAAGUUUUAAUGCUUGAGUAUGGGUAGAUAUGCAUGUUAGGAUUUAUGUGGGUUUUAUGCCCAAUGUAUGCUUAUGUGAUGUUUGUGUUGGGGUUUAAGUUAGUUUAUGCCCCUUUAUGCAUGUGGGAGUGUGUAUGCAUGUUUGGGAGAGGGCAUGUGAGGUUUUGGGUGGUUUGGAGGUUGGUUUUGCUUGUGUCGGAUUCGGACCUGCUGUUCGGAGGGAACCAGGUUCGGUCGCCGAAGGUAUGUUCGGCCGCCGAACCUGCAUGGAAAGCAGCUUUGGCUGCCUAACAUGCCCCCGAAGGCCAGGACUUUCGGAUCUGUGUGAGGCUUCGGCAGCCGAACCUGCCGCCGAAGGUGCCAGACUUUCAGCUCUUGAAGGACUUUCAACCGCCGAAAGUGCCCCCGAACCUGCAUGGCUUUCGGCUCUGGAAGGACUUUCGGCCGCCGAAAGUGCCCUCGAACCUGCAUGGCUUUCGGCUCUGGAAGGGACAUUCGGCCGCCGAAAGUGCCGCCGAAAGUGCCGUGUCCAGCCCAUUCUUGGUUGUUUUCUACGUACGUUUUGAGGAUGUUUUAGGGGGUUUUUGGGGAGUUGUAUAUGAGUUGUUGAGAGUGUGUUUGGCACCUCAUUCGAGUACACCUGUGUAGGAUUGGACCCGAGGGACCAAGGAGGCCAGCAGAGUUAGCUGUUGCAGAGUCAGUCCAGCGUCUGCCAGAGGUGAGUAGAACUAACUCAAAUGUUUUAAGCAUGUUCACGCAUCAUGAAUACCAUGUAUAUGUAUUAGGCUAUUGCAUUAGAUUUCACGAAGAUGUUGCAUUGCAUAAUUUGCUAUUGAUGUGGAUGGACCAAGGCGACCCCAAUAGCCCUAGCUAUGAUAUGUUAAUGAAGUCCUGAGGAGCCCCACCGAGGGCCGGGCAUAAUGAAGUCCUGAGGAGCCCGAAGGGUCGGACACUAUGUUAUGUUACAGAAGUCCUGAGGAGCUCCUUUGAGGGCCGGGCACCAUGAUAUGUUACAGACAGAGGGAGUUUUGGUGGUCAUGUCCAUCCGUGAUGCGAAAUGUUUGUGUUGUGACGCAUUCCAUGAAAGCAUGAUUUAUUAUUGUUUUUCUGUUCUGCUCACUGGGCUUUUUAGCUCACCCCUUUCCCCUAACCCCCAGGUUUGCAGGUCAGAGGUAGUCCAGGAAGACGUCAAGUGUAAAUGUCAUGCUUAUGUAAUAGAUUAGUGUUUUAGUGUGGACAUGUAUUGUAAAAUUGAUGUAAUGUAUUGCAAGAUAAUGCAAUGAAAUGUAACGUAAAACAGAGUUAUGUUUAUGGAUUAGUGUUGUGCUUGGCCCUAAGGCUUGGUUAGUCCCUUUUUAGUACAUGAUGUAUGUUAUGUUUUAGUGUUGAGUUGAGUUUGAACCAAACUUGUGGCAUGUGAUGUUUACCACGCUAGGGUAUUUGAUGAGGACUCUAGUGGAGGUUUUAUGCUUAUGGUUUUUGAUGCAUGCACAGGUUAGGUUUUGGUUCAUCGGAUGUGAUCCAAGCUUGAUGUAUGUUAUGUUGACCCAGCUAGAGUUUUUGUUGAGGGCUCUAAUAGGGGGUUCCUUAUGUUUUCAGUUAUGUAGCAUACAGGUCAAGCUCGGUAUAUACAUCAGAUGUUUAAGUUUUUAUGUUAAUAUUUUGAUCAUGUAUGGGAUUUGACCAGGUGAUAGGAUGUAUGUUAGGCUUGCUACGGGUCCCGGCGGCCUUAAGCCGAUCUGGAUCCUAGCGCCGAUAGCGGUUCGGUUUCCGGGUCGUUACAGCGAGGAUCUACACUUACCUCUUGAAAAUCUAAGGUAGAUGCGACCCAAGCUUGGAAUUGAGGAGAAAUGGUCUCCAAACUUUAUAAUCUUGGAUUCAAGCUCAAAACUUCAAAAACAAGAGAAAACUCAAGAAUAUUUUGAAGGAAAAACAACAAAAUCAAUUAUGGGAGGGCAAGAACUCACCUUUGCCCAAAAAUGGAGAGAGAAACUCUCCCAUUUUCGGACUGGAGGCCUCUUAUAGAUGGCUAGCCAGACCACCUUCGGCGGCCGAAAGGAGCUCCCAUGGCAGCACCAUGUUCGGCCCUGGUUUUUUCCCUCCAAAGCAUUUUUCUUUCUUUUAAAAAAUUCUUUAACACAAAAACCAACAGUAAAACCAUAAAAUUCAUUUUGUGAAAAACUUAUUUUACCCUUCUAAGAGGUUCCGACAUCUGAGAUUCCGGAUUCCAACGGGGAUUCCAUUGGAAGUUUGGAAUUCCGACGCCGGAGUCUAGCCGGGUAUUACAUUCUCCCCCCUUAAGAACAUUCGUCCCCGAAUAUUUAACAAGAAAACAUAACAUCAAGAAAACACAUAAAACUUAAAACACUUACCUUAAAAGAGAUAGGGGUAUUGCUGGAGCAUGGACUCCCGGGUCUUCCAGGUGCACUCUUCCAUGUUGUGGUGAUUCCAAAGGACCUUCACCAUCGCGAUUUCCUUGUUCCUCAACUUUCUGAUCUGCGUGUCUAUGAUCCAAACUGGCUGCUCAACAUAGGUGAGAUUUCCUAGGAUCUCUACAUAAGGUUCAUUAAGAAUAUUGCCCGGAUCUGACACGAACUUUCGUAACAUGAAAAUAUGGAAAACCGGAUGGAUCCUCUCCAUAGAAGUACGUAAAUCUAACUUGUAAGAUACAUUCCCAAUCUUUUGUAAGAUACAUUCCCAAUCUUUUGCAAGAUUUCGAAGGGUCCGAUGUACCUUGGAGCUAGUUUACCCUUUUUCCCAAAGCGAAUCACCCCUUUUAUAGGAGACACCUUGAGCAACACCAUAUCUCCCUCCUGGAUCACAACAUGUUUCCUGCGGAUAUCUGCAUAGCUCUUCUGCCGACUCACAACAGUUCUAAUUCUUUUUCUGAUAAUAGGCACUACCCUGCUGGUGAUCUCAACUAAUUCUGGCCCUGCCAAUGCCCUUUCUCCUACUUCUUCCCAGCAAACGGGUGACCUGCACUUCCUCCCAUAUAGAGCUUCAUAAGGAGCCAUUCCAAUGCUAGCAUGGUAACUGUUAUUGUAGGCAAACUCUACCAAGGCUAGAUGUUGCUUCCAAGGCUAGAUGUUGCUUCCAAGAACCUAGCACACACACAUUCUUAACAUAUCUUCUAUCGUUUGGAUAGUCCUCUCUGAUUGUCCGUCAGUCUGUGGAUGAAAGGCAGUGCUAAAGUCCAACCUUGUGCCCAUCGCAUUUUGCAGACUCUGACAAAACCUGGAGGUAAACUGGGGUCCCCUAUCUGACACUAUUGAUACUGGAGCCCCAUGAAGCCUGACGAUCUCCUCCACAUAAACCUGUGCCAGCUUGUCCACAGAAUAGCCACUCCUGACAGGAAUGAAGUGAGCAGAUUUGGUCAAUUUGUCCACUAUUACCCAUAUAGAGUCUAAUCUGUUGGACGUUGCUGGUAAUCCCACCACAAAAUCCAUUGCCACAUUCUCCCAUUUCCACUCUGGAAUCGGUAGUGGGUUGAGCAUUCCAGCUGGCUUCUGAUGUUCUAGCUUCACCCUCUGACAUAUCUCGCAAGCGGACACAAACUGCGCCACUUCCUUCUUCAUAGCUGGCCACCAAUAAACUUUUUUCAGAUCCUGAUACAUUUUGGUGGCUCCAGGGUGAACAUUGUACCUCGCAUUAUGAGCUUCCCUCAUAAUGUCUCCCUUCAAACUUACGUCGUCUGGUACACAUAACCUAUUUCCGUAAUGGAGGAUCCCUUUGUUAUCGAAUCUAAACUCACCGUUCUUGCCUUUCUGAACAGUUCUCGCUAUCUUCACCAACUCGGGGUCCUCAUGUUGUUUCUGUGCCACUUGUUCCAGAAACACGAGUGUCACUCUCAUCUGAGCUACUAGUGCACCUGUUGACUCGCGGUUGUAGAAGCCGGUCAAAAAUAAUCUUUCUGGUUUUCAACAAUCUUACAACUGCAGAUAGUGGUGAAAGGAUCAAAUCCACAGGGAAUUGAAAACUUACCUAUCUUCCUUAUCAAGACCAAGAAAAUAAACCGAAAGCGAAUAAACUGAAAGCGGAAUAAACUGAAAGCGGAAUAAAAUAAACUGCAAGUAAAGUAAAAGGGGGGUUUUGAGAUUGAUGCAAUUAAACUACUACUGAAAGCAAUAAAGUAAAGCAAACCAUAAAAUAAAGGAAUUCAAAUAUGAGAAAAGAUCUAGCUGAAAAAUUGGAUCCACUUCAGUUGUUGGGAUUAAUCAUCGAUACUUAGGUUCUUUUGAUUGAUUCAAUAAAUUAAUUAUGGAGAUGGAAGACGCUUCUCACCACCAUGUCUCUCCUUAAGCAUAAACCAAUUAGGGAACGUCCUCUAAUUAAUUACUAAUCAACAAGUUGCCAAGGAAUGUCCUUGGGCCUUAGACAUCAAAACAACUGUCAAUUGCAUUAAGAAAUAGAGAGACCUAAUUCUAGCUACCCAAACGCAUGGUGAUAUCGCUAGAUCAUGCAAUUUCCUUAGUUUUUACACCAAGUCUUCUUGUGUUUGAAUAAUCCAAGCAAUUACGGACUUAAAACUAUUCAAACUAACAAUAUAUCACUUUGCAAUCAAGAAUCAAUUGGCCAUAUUGAUCAAAAUAACAAAGCAAUAAUGAAAUCAAGCAUGAAAUUGCAUAAAUAUUGAAUAAACAAAAGUUAAACAAUGUGUGUUCAGAUCUCCCAAUCCAUAAAACAACUAAAGUAUCAACCAAUCUUCAAUUAGAAAUAAAGGUUUCAGCCACUCAUGAUUGAAACAAAAACCAAAAAUAAAGAAAGAGAUGAAGAAGAGAUGUGGCCACUUGCAAUCCCGUAGGUGUGUCCAAGGGGGUGUAGAAAAAAGCAUGGGGAGGCUCCUUAUGUAUCUUUUUAUAGUUGAAAGUGUUGCCCUAGGUCCUUACUUGCUGCCUAAGUUGUUAAGUUACUGCCCAUGCCGCCCAUAUCUUGCAUUGAUGAGGUGGAGCCUCUCUUUUGAAUUUUAAAUUUUGAAUGUACAAGACUUGAGGUGGCAUGUGUGACUUCUUUGGCUUCUUUGACAAGCUGAAUUUGAAUUUCAAAUUUGAAAGUGCAUCUUCUAAAGAUUUGGCUUCUUCAAUAAGGAAAAUGAUUCUUGAAGAUCUUGAAUUUCAACCUGCUUUGCAGACUGCACUUUUCUUAUUUGACACUUUCCUUAUUUAGCACUUUCCUUAAUGAGCUGAAUCUUGAAUUUGAAUUUUGAAUUCUCUUAAGGAUUUGAAAUUUGAAUUUCAAACUACUUUCCUUAUUUAGCUCUUUUCAAGUUGCACUUGGCAUGCUUGCUCUCCUUUGCUCCAUUUUAGGCAGUUUUAGGGGCAUUUUCA